GGAGCAAAGGAAAACACAAAAGAAACGACAGAAAACACAGGGGAAAUAAUAAAUGGAGAAGAAGAGGAGGGGAAGGCUCAAAGGGAGGAGAGGAGAAAGGCGACAGUGAACUCCGGCACAUGGAAUAGAUAUUUAAAUAGAUAUUUAUUGCCCAGCAGAAUAAAGUCUACACUUCGGGGUCUUCCAGUGGCACAACAAGGCAGAUUUGAGAUUUUUUUUCAGCUCUUUGGAUACCUCUGAAGCAAUGCUUUGAAUUUAAAGGGCACAAAAGCACCACUGCCAUCAAAGAGCAGGAAUCCCCGUGAGGUCAGCCAUGAUGCUUAUUGGUUCAUCAUCUCUGAAAACAGGCGAGCAAAUAAACAAAACGAAGAAACGAAAAACGCAGACAAAAAGCAGCUCGAGCUGUGCCAUGAUGACACAAAGUGCAGAUAUAAAAUCCUUUGGGGCAGUUCACGUUUGCACGGUGGGGUUAAAGCCCCGCAAGGAUGCGGCUCCACAGAAUCCUCUCCCUGCCCACUUCCAGCUGGCUCCUCGCACUCAGAAUCUGCCGGGCGCUGCUUUUCCAGCUCCAGACCAUCUGUGUCUGCUGUAAUCCGUGCCUCUGCCCUUUAUCUACCCUACAAAUUGCAGACAUUUUCUGCCACCUAACAAAGCCUCCGAAUGGCUCAGCCGCCAAUCGCCGACAAUAGAAACCGUGCGAGCAGCAGCCGGGAUGGGAUGGGAUGGGAUGGGAUGGGAUGGAAGGGCUCGCUCUGAUCGCGCUUUACCUGGAAUGAAUUGCACCAAAGAGCAGAGGAAAUGCAGCAGAUAAGAGCAACGAGAGGAACUGGGUUUUCCAUCACUUACACUUUCCAGCCUGUGAAGAGAUUCACAGCAAGCUCAGAAAUGCAAAGCUCGGUGUCAAGAUCCCCUUGACUCCAAGAGGGACGGAACUUCUUCUAAGAUGCUUCCAGAUUUCAAAUAAAAAUCCAUUUAUAUUCUGUCA